rnacentral:lncRNA from 1 species
GACUUUUUAGUGUCUUAUGGUAUCAGCAAAGGAAUAACUCCUCCACGAAGUCCAAAACUAUGUAAGUACAGUAUGCUUGUUUAAAUUAAGUCCAUUAUAAUUUUAAAAGUAAACCAUUAAGUUGCAAGACCCUCCUCUUGACAAGCUGGAAGACUCUCUGGCUAAAGACAGACUGAAUGAGUAAUUAAAGUAUCUUAAAUUAAUGGCACGUUUGCCAGUCAAUGGGUUCAUUGUAGAAGUACUAACCCUUUUACUUGCAAUAUGUCUAGGGGAGAGUCUUAUCACUAAAUGGACAUAGCGAGAAAUUGUGGACAUUAGGGGGCAGAGCUUAUAAGUAUUAUAUAUUCUGCCUUCAUAAAUGUCUUGGUUUCCAUCAGUGGCUUAUACCGCUUUUUUAAACCACUCAGGAUUAUUUAUUGGAUGGUUAAACCCCCAUUCAUAAGAAUUUUUAGCUGGCCUGGGCAAACAGAAACGCUAGACAUCCGAAAAAUUUCAGUGUUUAUUAUGUUUUGCUCGAUUGACCCAUCUGACCUUUGUGCAAAAAAUUAUAUACCCACUUUAACCUGUAUCUGAAGUCUUUAUGCCGACAAUGUUUACGAAUAUAUAAAAUUUUGUUGCCUAGAAACUAUAAGGCAUGUUUACAAAGCUCUUCUUUGGCAGAGGCAUCUUUAAAGCAUACAAAAUGGAGGAAUAUUUCGAAGAAGGACGACCAACUUUGGUUUGUUUAUGUUCAUGCACCUUUUAGGCAAGUUUCAGUGCCCGGUGUAGAAUUUCACGGUUAAAAUACAUCGAGAUUGCACUAAAAUUGUGUUAAAAUACUAAGCCACGUAUUAAUCACAGAGAUUUGACAUGAAUGGUCCCUAGAAACACAUAUUGUAUUGACAAGCCAAACAAUAUCCAACAUUUUGCGUCCGUAGCUCAGAAGAGUAAGAAAUCGGAAUUCGUCGUGGCUCGCUUGAGAUAUGUUGCCUAUUGCGCUAUAUAUUUUACUUUACGCUUGCUUUGAAGAUAAAUGUCGUGAUACCGAAUGAGAUUUCUAUAUCAUCAUAUUAUAAUUUUUGCUAUAUAAGUCUCUAAUAUUAUGGUGGCCAUUUUGUUUACAAGUCCAAGCGGUUAGUGCGCAUGCAUGUCCACAAUUUCUCGCCAUGAUAAAUAUUUUCCCCAAUUUCUCUUGCUGACCCAUUGACUGGAAAUAUACAUUCUCUACUUUGCUAUUUUAUUCUCACGGUUUCAAGAAUCCCCCCUUGACAGGUAAAAUCAUCUGCAUGUCUUUCUAUAGACAGAGUAAAAGAAUAAAAUCUAGCACAUUGCCAACCAAUAAGUUAACAGAAAUACAGAAAUAUCUGCCAAACUUUCCUGCAAAGCCCCAGAAGGUCCAGCUUAAUUCAGUUUUCCAGCGCUGUUAAUAUUAAUAAACAAAAUAUUUGUAUUGUUUGGCAGAUGUAAAAAUGGUACAUAUAAAGAUUGAAGAAGAUUUCCGCUAUAUUUCCAAGACCGAAGUUGUCAAAAAAAUGAUUGAACUAGUUCAUGAAUUGCAGGAAGGCCCCUAAUGAUCUAUUUUAGUGUAUCUACGCUAGCAUGUGUAUUCUUAUACUUCAGAAACACCAAAAAGAUCCUUUCAGAUAGAUUGUUCUAAAUAAUUGUGUAUAAAGUUUCUUUUGUUUUUACUUUUUAGGACCAUGAAAGUCCAAAUUCCUUUUGUCAGAAACAAAUUGGCAAUCUUCCUGUCAUCCUGAUUGAUCAGGAAAGUAUAUAUCUCAUUGUUGGAAAACACAUUUUGCUGCGUACCGAUGUUGGUCAAAUAGCAGAAGCUGUUGUUGCCUUUUAGCCCUUAAUGGAUUUUGAUUAUCCCAAACAACACGAGCUAAGAUUGGCAGUCCUACAAUUUCUUGUUUUUAAGGACAACCGAAUCCCAAACAACA